GACACACAAUGGGUCUGUCUGAAGUCGGCUCAUCUUCAAAGGAGAGUCAGCCUAUGGAGGAAUAUCACUUCUCAUCUGGGCAAAUCUGACAGGAUGACGACUGCCGAUGACGUCUAGCAUGCUGUGUGGCACACCUGGGCUGGGAGCUGCACCAGGAGAGGAUUCCAGGGUCGUCUGGAGAUGGCUAUGGCACAUCCCAAGUGGACACUGCAUAGAGGAAUCAGGAGGCAUAACUCAGCUUUGCUCCUGCCAGUGACACAGUCACCUAGUGGAAAAGAAAAGCCCUUCACCACCGAAUCUAUAAUUGCACCGGAAACUGCCCAGCCCUUGGUGGAACAAUGAGGGAAAUUUGGUUACGGGUCUACCGGCCUGGGGCGAGCAGAAACAAAGAUGAGGUUGGAAAUAUUCUUAACAUGUGUGUUUUCUUGGGUCAUUAAAAGAGAAAAACAAGUUCCAACACUGUUUGAAGGAAACCAUCAUCCAAUU